ensembl:snRNA U6 U6 spliceosomal RNA
GGGCUUGCUUCGGCAGCACAUGUACUACAAUUGGAAUGGUACAGAGACGAUUAGAAUGGCCCCUGGACAAGGAUGACACGCAAAUUCAUGAAGCCUUCCAUAUUUUU